rnacentral:rRNA from 1 species
GAUGAACGCUAGCUACAGGCUUAACACAUGCAAGUCGAGGGGCAGCAUGGUCUUAGCUUGCUAAGGCCGAUGGCGACCGGCGCACGGGUGAGUAACACGUAUCCAACCUGCCGUCUACUCUUGGACAGCCUUCUGAAAGGAAGAUUAAUACAAGAUGGCAUCAGGAGUCCACAUGUUCACAUGAUUAAAGGUAUUCCGGUAGACGAUGGGGAUGCGUUCCAUUAGAUAGUAGGCGGGGUAACGGCCCACCUAGUCUUCGAUGGAUAGGGGUUCUGAGAGGAAGGUCCCCCACAUUGGAACUGAGACACGGUCCAAACUCCUACGGGAGGCAGCAGUGGGGAAUAUUGGUCAAUGGGCGAGAGCCUGAACCAGCCAAGUAGCGUGAAGGAUGACUGCCCUAUGGGUUGUAAACUUCUUUUAUAAAGGAAUAAAGUCGGGUAUGCAUACCCGUUUGCAUGUACUUUAUGAAUAAGGAUCGGCUAACUCCGUGCCAGCAGCCGCAGUAA